UACUGGGUCGAGUUCGCAGACGCCAUCUUGAAGGAAUCUUGGUUCAUCCGCAAUGAGUCAAAAACAAACUCCAAGUGACUUUCUGAAGCAAAUUAUAGGCCGCCCUGUGGUGGUAAAGCUUAACAAUGGCGUCGAUUAUCGAGGAGUUCUUGCCUGCCUAGAUGGUUACAUGAACAUUGCUUUAGAACAAACAGAAGAAUAUGCCAAUGGCCAG